GACGAACGCUGGCGGCGUGCUUAACACAUGCAAGUCGUACGGUAAGGCCCUUUCUGGGGUACACGAGUGGCGAACGGGUGAGUAACACGUGAGUAACCUGCCCACAACUUUGGGAUAACGCUAGGAAACUGGUGCUAAUACUGGAUAUGUGCUCCUGCUGCAUGGUGGGGGUUGGAAAGCUCCGGCGGGUGUGGAUGGACUCGCGGCCUAUCAGCGUGUUGGUGGGGUAGUGGCCUACCAAGGCGGCGACGGGUAGCCGGCCUGAGAGGGUGACCGGCCACAUUGGGACUGAGAUACGGCCCAGACUCCUACGGGAGGCAGCAGUGGGGAAUAUUGCACAAUGGGCGCAAGCCUGAUGCAGCAACGCCGCGUGCGGGAUGACGGCCUUCGGGUUGGAAACCGCUUUCAGCAGGGACGAAGCUUUUUGUGACGGUACCUGCAGAAGAAGCACCGGCUAACUACGUG
rnacentral:rRNA from 1 species